GACGAACCGUCCAAACGUUAUUCGGAAUCACUGGGCUUACAGAGUUCGUAGGCGGUCUGGAAAGUUGGGUGUGAAAUCCCUGGGCUCAACCCAGGAACUGCGUCCGAUACUGGAAGGCUUGAAUCCGGGAGAGGGAUGCGGAAUUCCAGGUGUAGCGGUGAAAUGCGUAGAUAUCGGGAGGAACACCCGUGGCGAGGCGGCUCUCUGGCCUGUAACUGACGCUGAGGCGCGAAAGCGUGGGGAGCAAACAGG
rnacentral:rRNA from 1 species